rnacentral:rRNA from 1 species
AGGAUCAUUACAAGAAUCGAGGCUGACGGUGCCUACUCCAUAGGUUCCGUCUAGUCCCGCUCUCCACCUUGCCUACUGCACCGUUUGUUGCUUCCUGGCGGCGGCGUCCCCGUCGCCAGGGCCUUUUGAAAGCCAAGUAUAAGCAUUGAAACUUCUGACCUACACUAAAUCGUACAACUUUCAACAAUGGAUCUCUUGGUUCUGGCAUCGAUGAAGAACGCAGCGAAAUGCGAUAAGUAGUGUGAAUUGCAGAAUUCAGUGAAUCAUCGAAUCUUUGAACGCACAUUGCGCCCCUUGGUAUUCCAUGGGGCAUGCCUGUUCGAGCGUCAUCUAAACCCUCAAGCCCCAUGGCUUGGUGUUGGGUGUCUGUCCCUGCUCCCCGCGCGGACUCGCCCCAAAUGCAUUGGCAGCGGCCUCCACGCUUCUCGCGCAGCACAUUGCGCAGCGGAGCACGGCUAGGCGCGCGUCCAGCAAGCAACCCCCAAGUUUGACCUCGGAUCAGGUAGGGAUACCCGCUG